AUGAUGUUUUCAUUAUGCUUUUCUAGAGUGCUUACAGCAACGACACCGACCGGAGCUUCGGCGUUAUGCUUUAUCAGAGUGCUGACAGCAAAGACACCUACCGGAGCUUUGGCGUUUAGUCAAUGGCAGAACUUGUUUAACCAGGCAGCCCUUGGCAGAGCCACACAUGUCGCCACAUGUCAGUACAAAGAGUUUCUGAUGAUUAUUCUGGAAUUUUGGCAUGUAUACCUACCCGAAAAGAAAACCUUUGGUCUGUUAAUGCUAGUGGAGCUUCAAUUCGUUAAUUGCACUGCCGGCAAUCAUUGGCUCUUUCAUUAUCUGUGCAAUUUAGUUGACCAGGAUACUACAGCCACCUAA
rnacentral:rRNA from 1 species